GUUCAAGGACUAAGCCAUGCACGUGUGAGAGCAAGUUGCCUAGCUGCAAGACCAAUCUGCGAAUGGCUCAUUAAACCAGCAAUGGUUCAGCAGGGAGUGCCGCACCCCGGAAUCGGGAACAGUGUGAGCAGGGGCUUUCCUUGGAAAGUUCAGGGUCUGUCUUCUGUGUCCUUGGGGCAACCCCCCAUAGGUCUGGAGAAGCAGAUUCCGUUCCUUGCUCCAUGGCCUGUCAACCGAAUACCCUUUUUUCUGAAACAGAGGGCUAAUGCGUGUCCACUCGAUUGACUUUGUCCUUCUUCCCGGUCGAAGUUGGACAGGGUGCACUGGGCUGAAACAAAGAGUGGCAACACCGCCCCCUUCACUCCUCGCGAGUGGUUCGGGCAGCGCCAAGGUGGAACCAAGCCCUCUGUGGAAGAUCUAAGGCGUUCGGACUCCCACGUGGAGGUGGCUGAGAAGCCCUGCAAAGGGCACGCUCAUUUAGCCUCCUGUGGGAAGACUUCGCCCCGUGAACGGGAGAUGGGACACCCGGAACGUUGUGCUAGUGGGGGUCCUCGGACCUCCCACUUCCCUGCUCGAGUUUCUGCCCUAUCAGCCAUGGACGGUGGUGCAAGGGACCACGGUGGCGAUGACGGGUAACGCGGGAUUAGGGUUCGAUCCCGGAGAGGGCGCCUGAAAGAUGGCGACUACAGCUAAGGCUGGCAGCAGGCGCGCAAAUUGCUCAAUCUCGAUUGGCUGAGAGGAAGCAGCGACGAGGAGUGGUAUCAGUAGCCGGUCUCAUGACCGGAUUGUUGGAAUGAAUGAGGACCCAAGGAAUGCAGUGAGCAUCUACUUGUGGGCCAGUCUGGUGCCAGCAGCCGCGGUAAUUCCAGCACAAGUGGCUUACUUUGAAGUUGCUGCCGUUAAAAAGCUCGUAGUUGGUUGACAUCCAGGUCAGCCCUUUGAAGCCUGGACAGCCUCCGGCUCCCGGUGGAUUCUGGUGCGGCCUGUGGUGUUGCCCUGGCCUUUCCUUCCCGAUCCUCCGAUAAUUGGUAGGCAUCCGGGGCAACUGGGACUGCUCUGCUUUCGGUGCGAGAGGGAAUGUGGAGGCUGGGGUUCGGAGUGGGAGCGAUUCUCCGAGCAGGAGGGCUAGCCCUGGCUCGCACUCCGUCCCUUGGUGCGGCCUUCUCCGGGGAAGGGUGUCCCCUGGGGUCGGAAUCCCGUGCGGCCCGGUGCGAACCCUCAGGGCAGUGAUGCCAGCGGCCUCCAUCCUGAACAUGCCGCCGAGGGGCCCGGUAGCGUCUUUCUCCCUUCCCAACCCCUCCGGGGGAGGGUUGGAAAAGAGCGAAGGUCCAGGAGAUGUCCACUCGAUUUGUACCAUGAGCAAAGCUAAGCGCUCCAAGCGGUUGCCCUUCUGCCGACCGGAUGUCCAAGCAUGGCAUAACAAGGGAUCGGUCCUUUGGACCCGUCGUUCUGGUAUUCUUUACUGGCCAAGCAGUGGACGAACUUUGCCUUCCUUGGGAGGACUGCGGGGAAACCCUGGGAACCUUGCAGAGUUGAGAUCCUGGUAGGCNGCCCUCCGGGGACGACCGUGCCCCUCUCACUCGGUAAGGCCCCCCCUGGGGGGAAGCCGGAGCCCUGCCGGGAGCCGAGGUGUUGACGGGGGUCGCUUCUAUGCUCAGGGGACUGGACGGCGAGUGGUGAAAUACUUUGACCCGUACCAGGACCAUCAAAGGCGAAAGCACUGAGCAGGGCCCGACCCGCCAAUCAAGAGCGAGUGUGCGGGGAUCGAAGAGGAUCAGAUACCCUCGUAGUCCGCGCUGUAAACCGUGCCUACUGAGGAUAGGGGCAGUGUUCCCUCGGAAUGUCUGCCCCUGUCCUUCCCCCGCAACGAGAAAUCCAAGUGUAUGGGUUCAGGGGGGAGUACGGUUGCAAGACUGAAACUUAAAGGAAUUGACGGAAUGGCACCACAAGGCGUGGAGUGUGCGGCUUAAUUUGACUCAACACGGGAAACGUUACCUGGAUAGCACGUGGCAAGGAUAUGACAGGCUGAAGUACUCUCGUGAUAACUCGGCAAGUGGUGCAUGGCCGUUCCUGGUUGGUGAAGUGAUUUGUCUGGUUGAUUCCGAUAACGAGCGAGGUCUUCACCUUCCAGUAGGCAACGCUCUCGCUCGCUGUAGGGCAUCUUUGAUCCCUGGGGGCCCUCUCGGGGUGCCCCCCAGGAGGUCAGGCCCGAGAGUGGCGGUGUUGCUUCUCAGUGGGUUCAGGCACGCUGUUUCGACAAAGUGCCUACAGCCGGAAGCCGACAGCAGGUCUGUGAUGCCCUUAGAUGCCCAGGGCUGCACGCGCACGACAAUGACGUCGUGAGUGUGUGGAAUUCCCCUGUGGCGUCGGGUNNNNNNNCGAAGGGGUUCCGCGGUCUCGGCCNAAGUUCCCCCCCGGACUCCACCCCCCUUCCACAGCUUUCCAGGAGUCCGUGGUUUGAAGAUGAACUGGGAAAUCCCGAAGCUGGUUGCCGUGAUUGGGGAUCGGUGCUUGCUACUGUUCGCCUUGAACGAGGAAUGCCCAGUAAGUGCAGGUCAACAGCCUGCGCUGACUGCGUCCCUGCCAUUUGUACACACCGCCCGUCGUUGCUACCGAUGGCGCUGGGAUAGAGGCCCGAGGAAACUAGUAGCGAGAACCUCCGCUGGGCCUUCGGGCCAAUACACCGUCUCGCGAACGAAGAAUUCGGCCAAUAUCCCAUUGCUGGAGGAAGCAAAAGUCGUAACAAGGUAGCUGUA
rnacentral:rRNA from 1 species